CCUACGGGAGGCAGCAGUGGGGAAUUUUGGACAAUGGGCGCAAGCCUGAUCCAGCAAUGCCGCGUGCAGGAUGAAGGCCUUCGGGUUGUAAACUGCUUUUGUACGGAACGAAGAAGUCUGCCCUAAUACGGUGGGCCCAUGACGGUACCGUAAGAAUAAGCACCGGCUAACUACGUGCCAGCAGCCGCGGUAAUACGUAGGGUGCGAGCGUUAAUCGGAAUUACUGGGCGUAAAGCGUGCGCAGGCGGUUAUAUAAGACAGAUGUGAAAUCCCCGGGCUCAACCUGGGACCUGCAUUUGUGACUGUAUAGCUAGAGUACGGUAGAGGGGGAUGGAAUUCCGCGUGUAGCAGUGAAAUGCGUAGAUAUGCGGAGGAACACCGAUGGCGAAGGCAAUCCCCUGGACCUGUACUGACGCUCAUGCACGAAAGCGUGGGGAGCAAACAGGAUUAGAUACCCUGGUAGUCCACGCCCUAAACGAUGUCAACUGGUUGUUGGGUCUUCACUGACUCAGUAACGAAGCUAACGCGUGAAGUUGACCGCCUGGGGAGUACGGCCGCAAGGUUGAAACUUAAAGGAAUUGACGG
rnacentral:rRNA from 1 species